ACGUUAGCGGCGGACGGGUUAGUAACACGUGGGUAACCUACCUAUAAGACUGGGAUAACUUCGGGAAACCGGAGCUAAUACCGGAUAAUAUUUCGAACCGCAUGGUUCGAUAGUGAAAGGUGGUUUUGCUAUCACUUAUAGAUGGACCUGCGCCGUAUUAGCUAGUUGGUAAGGUAACGGCUUACCAAGGCGACGAUACGUAGCCGACCUGAGAGGGUGAUCGGCCACACUGGAACUGAGACACGGUCCAGACUCCUACGGGAGGCAGCAGUG
rnacentral:rRNA from 1 species